rnacentral:rRNA from 1 species
UACAGAGGGUGCAAGCGUUAAUCGGAAUUACUGGGCGUAAAGCGUGCGUAGACGGUUAUGUAAGUCGGGUGUGAAAGCCCCGGGCUCAACCUGGGAAUUGCAUUCGAGACUGCAUAGCUAGGGUGCGGAAGAGGGAAGCGGAAUUUCCGGUGUAGCGGUGAAAUGCGUAGAUAUCGGAAGGAACACCAGUGGCGAAAGCGGCUUCCUGGACCGACACUGACGCUGAGGAGCGAAAGCCAGGGGAGCAAACGGG